rnacentral:misc_RNA from 1 species
UCUCCGUUCGUGAACCAGCGGAGGGAUCAUUACCGAGUGCAAACUCAUAACCCUUUGUGAAUCUAUAUCUGUUGCUUCGGCGGCUCGCUCUCGGGCGAGCCCGCCGGUAAUAUCAGUAUCUCUGUUUGAACCCGACGAUACUUCUGAGUGUUCUUAGCGAACAGUUAAAACUUUUAACAACGGAUCUCUUGGCUCUA